UGCCCAUAUCUCCACAGAAACUUCAUCAUUAGAGUCCCUCUCAAAAUCAUCAAAAGACCCCUUCGAUUUUAUGCACUGUUCUCCCAAAAACUCAACCUUUUUGGCACAUUCAAGUAUUACAUCUGCUUCAGCUGCAGUUCGAAGGCCUGUUUUCCUCAAAAUGCGAAGCCAACCAUCUGUACUAAACCUUUCUCCAGGAAAUCUCUUCCUCUCACCAGAGAAUACAGAAGUUAAUAAAGCAUCACAGGGAUCAAACAGAUCCUUGGGCUUGGAGAGGUCCGUGGAGAAUUCAUCUGCAUUCCUUACAAAUCUAGUCUCCUUCAGAACUUCAAGCAAAGAAGAAUCUGCCUGGAGAUCUUGCCAGUUUGUGUAAAGAUAAAUUAAUAUAUCCUCCUGCUCAGACUGAGGUUUGCCUUCAAAUUCGGGCAACCCAAACCUUAUCAAAAUCUGUGGAUCAUGUAAUUCGGGAACCCCCAGGGCUCGUAAUAGCGAACACUCAAUUGAAUCUGUUGAAUAAGAAAGGCAAUGCUCAUCAAAUGGCUUUAGGAAUGAUUCAGAAGAUAUCAUACACUUAUCUUGACCAAGCAAUUUGCUGUAGGAUCCCUUGACUGUUUUAUAUAUAGGCAAGCAAUGCAAUACUUCAAGCUCC
rnacentral:misc_RNA from 1 species